rnacentral:rRNA from 1 species
AGUGAACGCUGGCGGUAGGCCUAACACAUGCAGGUCGAACGGCAGCACAGUAAGAGCUUGCUCUUACGGGUGGCGAGUGGCGGACGGGUGAGGAAUACAUCGGAAUCUACUUUUUCGUGGGGGAUAACGUAGGGAAACUUACGCUAAUACCGCAUACGACCUACGGGUGAAAGCAGGGGAUCUUCGGACCUUGCGCGAUUGAAUGAGCCGAUGUCGGAUUAGCUAGUUGGCGGGGUAAAGGCCCACCAAGGCGACGAUCCGUAGCUGGUCUGAGAGGAUGAUCAGCCACACUGGAACUGAGACACGCUCCAGACUCCUACGGGAGGCAGCAGUGGGGAAUAUUGGACAAUGGGCGCAAGCCUGAUCCAGCCAUACCGCGUGGGUGAAGAAGGCCUUCGGGUUGUAAAGCCCUUUUGUUGGGAAAGAAAAGCAGCAGGUUAAUACCCCGCUGUUCUGACGGUACCCAAAGAAUAAGCACCGGCUAACUUCGUG